AAAACAGAGAAGCGGCAGAGAAGUGGAGAAAGGGCAAAGAGGCAGAGCAAGAGGAAGAAGGUUGGAGAAGAGAAAAGCUUGAAGCUUAAAGAUUCGCCGGAUUAACUCAGGUAACGAGCAGUGAUUGAGUAGAAGCUAGUGCUUGGAGUCUAGUGUAGUCUCCUUAGUGGGUCAUGCUCUGAUAGAUGUAACAUCGGGACGGGAUGUUUUACCUUGUUGAAUAAUUUUACAUGUAAUGUGUUACAUGUUCUGCAUGAUUGAUUUGAUUUCUAUCCGCUGCGUAUUGUGCAAAUGCUUUAUGUUUUGAAUUAAUAAAAAGAGCAUGACAGUUAUUUGGUGAA